GCCGGCGUGGCGGAAUUGGUAGACGCAGCGGAUUCAAAAUCCGCCGCACGCAAGUGCUUGUCGGUUCGAGUCCGACCGCCGGUA
rnacentral:tRNA from 1 species